GAAAAGAAUGCUAAUACCGCAUGACAUAUCGGAACCACAUGGUUCUGAUAUCAAAGAUUUUAUCGCUUGAAGAUGGACUCGCGUCCGAUUAGUUAGUUGGUGAGGUAACGGCUCACCAAGACCGCGAUCGGUAGCCGGACUGAGAGGUUGAACGGCCACAUUGGGACUGAGACACGGCCCAGACUCCUACGGGAGGCAGCAGUGGGGGAUAUUGCGCAAUGGGGGCAACCCUGACGCAGCAACGCCGCGUGAAGGAUGAAGGUUUUCGGAUUGUAAACUUCUUUUAUUAAGGACGAAAAAUGACGGUACUUAAUGAAUAAGCUCCGGCUAACUACGUGCCAGCAGCCGCGGUAAUACGUAGGGAGCAAGCGUUGUCCGGAUUUACUGGGUGUAAAGGGUGCGUAGGCGGCUUUGCAAGUCAGAUGUGAAAUCUAUGGGCUCAACCCAUAAACUGCAUUUGAAACUGUAGAGCUUGAGUGAAGUAGAGGCAGGCGGAAUUCCCCGUGUAGCGGUGAAAUGCGUAGAGAUGGGGAGGAACACCAGUGGCGAAGGCGGCCUGCUGGGCUUUAACUGACGCUGAGGCACGAAAGCGUGGGUAGCAAACAGGAUUAGAUACCCUGGUAGUCCACGCUGUAAACGAUGAUUACUAGGUGUGGGGGGUCUGACCCCUUCCGUG
rnacentral:rRNA from 1 species